GACGUAGGGUGCAAGCGUUGUCCGGAUUUAUUGGGCGUAAAGAGCUCGUAGGCGGCUUGUCGCGUCGGCUGUGAAAACCCGCGGCUUAACUGUGGGACUGCAGUCGAUACGGGCAGGCUAGAGUUCGGUAGGGGAGACUGGAAUUCCUGGUGUAGCGGUGAAAUGCGCAGAUAUCAGGAGGAACACCGGUGGCGAAGGCGGGUCUCUGGGCCGAUACUGACGCUGAGGAGCGAAAGCGUGGGGAGCGAACAGG
rnacentral:rRNA from 1 species